rnacentral:lncRNA from 1 species
UCCAACAGAAACCACAGUGUGCCCAGCAUCCUGGUGCAAUGACAGAAUCUAAUCAAGCAGGACUCACCUGUCCACACUGAAGAGUAUCUAUAGCAGUAUAAUCACCACAAUUCCAAUGUGGAGAUUUUCAAAUACCAACCAAAUAAAUUGAGCAAAGAAUUAGCAGAGCUGGUUCUGUUUAUGGCACAGAUUGUUCACUGCUACCCGGAGCAUCCAAGUAACUUUCCUCAAGAGUGCAAAGAUCUUCUCUCCUACCAUAGCCCUAUCUUGGGUCCAGAUUUUCUAAUGACAUUUUGCAAAACUUUGAUCUUGCUAAGAAGAAUCUCACUAAUC